rnacentral:lncRNA from 1 species
AGUCCUAAAUGGUACAAAUGACUUGGUCAACAGAUUAAACUGCUUCUCCUAACAUCAAAUUGACCAAUGUUUGUCAGUUAAAGCUUGCUCAACUAUUUGAAGUGCAUUACUCAGGAAAGACUGUUUCGAAAUUAAACUUUUAAAGGUAGUUUAGCAUUACCAUAUGAUCCAGCAAUCACACUCCUGGGAACAUAUCUGAACAAAGCUGUAAUUCAAAAAGAUACAUACACCCCUAUGUUCACUGCAGCACUAUUCACAAUAGCCAAAACAUGGAAACAACCUAAAUGUCCAUCAACAGAUGAAUGGAUUAAGACGUGAUUUAUAUAUAUAAUGCAAUACUAACCAGCCAUAAAAAAGAAUGAAAUAAUUGAAACAAUGCCAUUUUCAACACAUGGAUGCAAAUAGAGAUCAUCUUCCUAAGAGAAGUAAGUCAGAAACAGAGGGACAAAUAGCAUAUGAUAUCACUUAUAUGUGGAAUCUAAAAUCUGGCACAAAUGAAACUAUUUACAAAACAGAAAUAGACUCACAGACAUGGAGAACAGACUUGCGGCUGCCACGAAGGAUGAUGGAGGGAGUGGGAUGGACUGAGAGUUACAUUUAGGAUGGAUAAGAAAUGAGGUCCUACUGUACAGCACAGGGAACAAUAUCCAAUCUUCUAGGAUAGAAUAUAAUGGAAAACUUAUAUAUAUAUAUAAGUUCCCAUUGUGGCUUGGUGGUUAACGAACCCAACUAGUAUCCAUGAGGAUGUAGGUUCAAUCCCUGGCUCUGCUCAGUGGUUUGAGGAUCCAGCGUUGCUGUGAGCUGUGAUCUGUGGUGUAGGCCAACAGCUACAGCUCCCAUUCAGCCCCUAGUCUGGGAACUUCCACAUGCUGUGGGUGAGGCCGUAAAAAGACAAAAGUCAAAAAAAAGAAAAAGAAACAAAGCAGUGAAAAAGAAACUAAAACAAAAAGAGGAAGAAGAAGAGAGAGAAAGGCACAAAGCAGAAUCAACCCCUUAAUUAUUCUUUUUCCAAUCAGGAAAUAGAAAUUUUUUCCACUUGACCCACUCCUCCCACUCAUUGAAAUUGGAUCCUUUGGGAAAAUUAUCAUUAUUUUUUUAACCUGCAGGUUUCUGUUCAGGUUUAUAAAUCUAACUGUAAUACAGGUCUUGACUUCAAACGUUUGUAUUUCUCAAGGUGGUUGGCCUUUAAAUACUGAGCACAAUUUUUUAAAGCAUAUUACAUAGGUCUUAGGCAACAUGCACAUGCAGGUCCUCCGCACAUCACAAGAAUCUCCUGCAUAAGGAGUUCCCCUUAUGGCGCAGUGGAAACAAAUCCGACUGGUGUCCAUGAGGACACAGGUUGAUCCCUGGCCUCGCUCAGUGGGUUAAGGAUCCGUGUUGCCGUCAGCUGCAGUGUAGGUCGCAGAUGCAGUUGGGAUCCCACAUUGCUGUGGCUGUGGCCUGUGGUGUAGGCCAGCAGCUGUAGCUCCUAUUCAACCCCUAUCCUGGGAACCUCCAUAUGCCACGGGUAUGGCCCUAAAAAGGAAAAAAAAAAACAAAACAAAACAUUGCCUGCAUAAGCGCUAGAAACAGAUUUUUGAAAAUGUUCUGUUAUUUGCCAGUAAGGGAAGAUCAACUGUGCUCCCAGCCUUCCCUCAGUCUCUCCCCUGGAAGGUAGAAACCGCAUCUGGCUAGGGAGGAUCACCUUGGAGAAGAAGACACUUCUGGAAGGAUAAACGGGAAGUGUCUGGCUCAGUUCUGCUCUUCUUCCUCUUGGAGGGGGCACCUAACAAGCUCUCCCCCCAUCAAGGUUCAGCACUGCCCUUGAACCCAGCUUGGGUUAGCUCCAUAUUUUGGCCACCAAUCUAAGCUCUAUACUAUACAACUCUCAAGAAAGACCAUGUCAUUUCCAAUUCUGUACCUUCAUGGUUGUGUCUCCCUAUGUAGAUAAACAUAUUUAGGAUCACAGGGUUAUGUACUUUUCCAAAAAAAUCAGCCUCAGAACCAAGAGUUGUACCUCUCCAUCUCUGAGCUCAGAGUGAGCAGUCUGGCUAAAAGUAGGCAUUAUCUUUGACUCUGAAGUUCUCCAAGAUGACAACAUAACCAGUCCUUAGCAUCCAAUAAAAUGAGUGGAAACUCUUCACUGAAUAAUUCUUCUUUGAACCACUGAGCAACAUCCCUUAAAUGGACUUGCUCCAAAUAGUUAAAUUAAGCCCAAGUCACAGAGAUGCUGACCCUUUUUUUAAAAACGUAAUUUUUUUUUUUUUUUUGCUUUUUAGGGCUGCACCCACGGCAUAUGGAAUUUCCCAGGCUAGGAGUUGAAUCAGAGUUGCAGCUGCCAGCCUACACCACAGCCACAGCAACACAGGAUCCAAGCCACGUCUGUGACCUAUACCACAACUCAUGGCAAUGCCAGACCCUUAACCCACUGAGCAAGUUCAGGGAUCAAACCUGUGUCCUCCUGGAUACUAGUCAAGUUCAUUACCACUGAGCCACAAUGGGAAAUCCCAAAUGGCCUUUUUAGAAGAAAGUUAGGACAGAAAUUACAGUUCAAAGAUGUAAAUAAAUUUUGUUGAUCACCAUCAGCAAAAUUUUUGACAAGUGUAGACCUAGCCCAUUUCUAAUCUGAAGGAACCUUGACUUAGUAAUCAAGUUUAUCUUCUCAGUAUGACUGUAUUUAUUUAUACUGUUCGCAUGCCUGCUAAAUAGAUUGAGAGCAGUGAGCAGAACAGAUACAGGGAGAUGCUCAGAGUUGCCUACAAGCUUAGCUAUGAACCAUUGGGUCUCUAUGUGGGUGGUUUCUCAGUCUGACCGAAAUUGCUACCUACUUUGAUCUGAUACUAUUAUAGGCUGUAACAUAGUUAUUAAUAAUCAAAAGCUCUUUAAUGCAUUUUGCCUGAUCCAGACACCGUCUUCCAUCUUACAGAAAAAAAAUGUAACAUUCUAGGCUUCACCCUUUCAACCUGUAAGAGAUAAGACAUCUCACUAGGUGCUCUGGUUUACAACAAGAGAACGAAGCUUUCGGAAAAUAUGAUUCCUCAUGUACAACAAUAAAUAAAUAAAUGGGUGAGUCCCAGGCCAGUCCUUCUCAUGUGCAAGAAUAUCAAAGGAAGGGGAAAAAAAAGAAUAAAGCAAACUCUUGUUUAAAUGAGGGCUGAUUUCUAAAUCACAGCAGAUGGCAAACGAAGGGGAAGAGGUGACUCAUCGUAUCUAUUCAGAGAAAACCAGCGAACAGACUGUUAUCCAUCCUUUUAUGAGUUUGUUUGCCUGUGAACAAGCCUCAGAAAUUUACCAAAUUGUCCCAUUGUAAAAAUGGCUUAGUACAAAAAAGUGCAGGAAAUCACCGUUGACCGGUCCUUAUAAUGUGGAGAAACACACACCCACCAAACCAAGACCCAUGAUGGAACAUAUUCCCAAGUGGGCUCUUUUCCACGUUACCCGAGUUCACUUAUGUGGCUCAGUUGUCUGCAGUGUCCUCAUGCACACACCCUUAUGAUUUGGGUACCAUGUCAGUCACAGAACUGCAACUCUUUAUCAGUUUCUACCACCACUCCAAGCACACUAAGCAUUUCAUGAGGUUGAUGAGUCCCACCCAAGAGUCCUGUUGCCCUAAAAUUCCUCUCGGACCCCUCCUUUCCAACCCCCCACUUCUUAUGCUGAUGAUAUUGCUUGCCUCUUAGCAUGCCUCCCACCUGGUGGAUGCCUGGCAUUCUGUUUCCCUCUCCACAGCUCUCAGGUAGUCAUAAUGCAAAGCAGUUCAUCUCUCCCAAGUUCUAUUUCAAACUUAUGUGCCAUCACCCACCAAGGCAUUUAGCAAUCUGGUUAAACUAUCCAUCCUUUUGGGGGAAAGAUUCAUGUACUACAAAUACUUUUAUGUGACACUGAAAUAGAUUGAUGUAUACAAUGGAUUUCUUUAUAUAACGUUUAGCAAGACUCUUAUCCACAUUGGUAAAAUCUGUUUCAAAAAGAUCAGUUUCCAUGUUUCACCCAACUUGGGUAGAAACUAAGAUUUCACAUACGUACUUUUUUCUUUUUACUGCUGCACCUGUGGCAUAUGGAAACUCCCAGGCUAGGGGUCGAAUUGGAGCUGCAGCUGCAGGCCUACACCACAGCCACAGCAAUUCCAGAUCUGAGCCACACCUACAACUUUACCAUAGCUUGAGGCAAUGUUAGAUCCUUAACCCACUGAGCAAGGCCAGGGAUUGAAACAGCAUCCUCACAGACACUAUGUCUGGUUCUUUUUUUUUUUUUUUUUUUUUAAUCUUUUUGUAUUUUAGGGCCACACCAGAGGCAUAUGAAGGUUCCCAGGCUAGGGGUCCAAUCGGAACUGUAGCCACAACACAGGAUCUGAGCCGUGUCUGUGACCUAUACCACAGCUCAUGGCAACGAUGGAUCCUUAACCCACUGAAUGAGGCCAGGGAUCAAACCCGGGUCCUCAUGGAUGCCAGUUGGGCUUGCUAACCACUGAGCCACGACGGGAAUGCCAGUAUGUCUGUUUCUUAACCACUGAGCCACAAUGGGAACUCCUCACAUAUGUACUUUAAAUAAUAAAAUCUUCAAAGCUAAAAUUGAGUUCUUUUUAUACAUCAUGGUAGGAAAGAUUGUGUUAGGAUGAAGUUAGGAAAAAAUUAGAACAAACUUAUGCCCUUUCCGGGAACAGAACCUAGAGAGGAAUAAAAAGAAUAGGACAGGCAAACAGUCUGGAAGAUCAAUCUGAUGAAUACGAACAAAAAUUCACUUAACGUACAACUUUGUACACAAGGCAGAUCUACUUUGUGUAUAACAUAGAGCAUAACAAGCCCUGACCCCAGGUAGCUCCCUGCAACACCAACCCCAUAUUAAAUUUUCUGCCCAUUUGAACACAAUACAGAAGUUGCUGGAUUUGUUAGAGCCAGGACACCUGCAAGCACACCUACAUAAAUACAUAAAUACGAAAGCUCAUGGGUUGUAUACAGUCAUCAUUUCUCUUUAGACAAUAUGCUUUAAUCUGGAAUGGGUUCUUUCUUUGACUUGAUAAUUUUGUUGGAAUACCCCUCAAGGUGGGCUUUAUCUACUGUUUCCUCAUCAUUCAAUUCAGGUUGUUCAUUUUGGGCAGGGAUGCUCAGAAGAGAAUUGUGCUGUUUUUAGGGCAUUUUAAGACGAGGCUGCUGAUGUGUGACUUUACAGGUGAGGUUAACUUUGAUUUCUCAGUCAGAGGGGCAUCUGCCCUUUUUACAUGUGUCCAUCCUUCUUUGAGAUCUUGCUUAAUUUCUGGUUCAAUGAGAAAUUCCAGGAUUAUUUUUUCUAAUAACUCCUUUUCAAACAUUCCUCUCUGCAAGUUUCUUCUUUAUCUUUAAAUAUCAAAAAUAUACAAAACAAUUGUAUUUUAGCCACAAGUGUUCUCUAGAAUAUAAUCUUAACAUCUUAACUACAUGCAUUGCUGAGGGGUAGUUCCAAUAAGAGCCCAUGCAAAACAAUCUAUGAUCCAGAAAUGCUAGUCAUAUGAAACAUAUUGAAUUUUGUGCUUCACGUGUCAGCCCCCAGGUGAAAUUAGCACAGGCUGAGAAGUAUUUAUCCUCAGUAUAAUUAUUUGCUUAUUUAAGUGGACACUGCUACCCUCUUGGGUAUUGCCUAUCAUCACUGUGUUUAUGGAUCUUUUCAAAUCUUGUGUUCAUUGCUUUGUUCCUUUUUCUGUUCUAUGGCUUUUAAUGGGCUUCCAAUAUACUAAGCGCCUAAACAAGGAAAUUGGGAGUAAAAGCUUUGAUGAAGAGAUGCAUAUUCACUGAUAAAUGUUCACACCUACCUGAUCUGGCCUCUGCCUGUCUCGCCACCACCUGCCCCAUCACUUUCUGGGGGUCUCUGUGCAACUCCACUGGUGUCACUGCCAGUCUUCAAACAUGCCAGGCAGGACGUGGCCACUGGCUCUUCCCUCUGUGUGGAUGCGCUUUUCCUAUCGCCUCACUCCCUCACAUCCCCACAGUCUCUGCUCAAAUGUUCACUUUUCACAUGGAAAUCCUAGCCAGAGGUUCAGCAACUGUCUUUCACCUUGAAGAGGAAAGCCCAUAAACUACAAAUGAAAGAACAGAAAGACCUGGUCCCCUAAUACAUUUUUGGAGUUAUACCAUGCCAGUGGUAAAGGACCUAUUUCUAGUCUUCAUUCAUAAGGUGAAAAAUCCCACCCCUAAUCGAUUUCUUUACGAUUUAAUUCAGUAUGUAUAAGAGUUCCCGUCAUGGCGCAGUGGUUAACGAAUCCAACUAGGAACCAUGAGGUUGCGGGUUCGAUCCCUGCCCCUUGCUCAGUGGGUUAACGAUCCGGCGUUGCCGUGAGCUGUGGUGUAGGUCGCAGAUGCGGCUCGGAUCCCGAGUUGCUGUGGCUCUGGCGUAGGCCGGUGGCUACAGCUCCGAUUCCACCCCUAGCCUGGGAACCUCCAUAUGCCGCAGAGCGGC